GACGAACGCUGGCGGCGUGCUUAACACAUGCAAGUCGAACGGAAAGGCCCUGCUUUUGUGGGGUGCUCGAGUGGCGAACGGGUGAGUAACACGUGAGUAACCUGCCCUUGACUUUGGGAUAACUUCAGGAAACUGGGGCUAAUACCGGAUAGGAGCUCCUGCUGCAUGGUGGGGGUUGGAAAGUUUCGGCGGUUGGGGAUGGACUCGCGGCUUAUCAGCUUGUUGGUGGGGUAGUGGCUUACCAAGGCUUUGACGGGUAGCCGGCCUGAGAGGGUGACCGGCCACAUUGGGACUGAGAUACGGCCCAGACUCCUACGGGAGGCAACAGUGGGGAAUAUUGCACAAUGGGCGGAAGCCUGAUGCAGCAACGCCGCGUGCGGGAUGACGGCCUUCGGGUUGUAAACCGCCUUCGCCUGUGACGAAGCGUGAGUGACGGUAAUGGGUAAAGAAGCACCGGCUAACUACGU
rnacentral:rRNA from 1 species